rnacentral:rRNA from 1 species
AUGGAGGACCCGAUCUACGACACCGUCGCCGAGGAGGACUACGCCGCCCUCGUCGCCCGCCGCCGCAAGGACGCCGGCGCCUUCAUCAUCGACGACGACGGCCUCGGCUACGUCGACGACGGGCGAGAGGAGGACUGGACCCACCGCGCCCUCCCUUCCUCCUCCGACGAGGGAUCUGGCGGCGAGGAGGGCGCCCCCCGCAAGCGGAAGCAGCCGCGCCCUCCCCAGGCGAAGCGUCCGCCCCAGCAGUCUGCUGCGGCGGCGUCCCUCUCCGCCGCCGGUGCGAUGACGGGCAAGGAUCGCCUCUCCGCCAUGUUCACCUCCUCCUUUUUUAAGAAGCCAGGCAGCGACCGCACCAAGGGCUCGUCGCUGGCCGCGGACAGCAUCGUGGACGACGUCAUCGCCGAGUUCGCCCCCGACGAGAACGACCGCGAGGAGCGCCGUCGUCGCGUUGGCAGAGUCUCUGCCCCGACACCAACGCCUGCUCCAGUUGCCCAAAUUAAGGCAAUUCAAGCAGCCGUACACGCUGAAAUGGAGGUUAGAUCGGAUAAUGGGUUCGAGCCUGAUGUGGUUUCAGGCCAUGGAAACGAUAUGGAGGUGGAAUUACAGCCAGAGGUGGAAUUGAAGCCUGAUGUGGAAAUGCAACCCAAAUUAGAAGCAGCUCCAGGUUCUAGUCCUGAAUUGGUUGAUGAGAAUAAGAGCUCGGAGGAACUGAAGCUGGAAGCUAAUGGGGAGGUGAAGAUAGAGAAGGUGCACCGUUUAAACGCUAAGAUUAAGGCAGAGGGCACCAGGAAUGGUGAUAUGUUGAGUGCAACAGCAGGUUGGAUGAAGAUAUGUGGGGAGGGGGAGAAUGCAGGAGGCGAGGGAGAGGUGUCUGUUAAUGGUAACACCGAUGUAGAUGAAAGCUCGGAGUUUGAGCUGAAGGAUGGAGCACUGCCGUUCUAUGUGCUGGAUGCAUAUGAGGAGCCCUUCGGUAUUAAUUCAGGCACAGUUUAUUUGUUUGGAAAGGUUGUAAUAGGCAAGCGGUUCCAUAGUUGUUGUGUUGUUGUAAAAAAUAUGCAAAGGUGCAUAUAUGCAAUCCCAAGCAGUUCAGUAUUCCCAAGGGACACAAUAUCAAGGAUAGAGAAGAACUCCACAAGUUCUGAUGCUUCGCCAUCACUUCGAGCAACUUUACAUGAGUUGUCAUCUGGACUAAAGAUUGAAGUAGCUGAGAAGUUGUCUGACCUCAAUGUUUCAAAUUUUGUGAUGACUCCAGUCAAGAGGAACUAUGCAUUUGAGAGGACCGAUGUACCAAUCGGUGAGCAGUAUGUCCUGAAAAUCAAUUACCCAUAUAAGGAUCCUGCGGUACCAGCCGACCUCAGAGGUGAACAUUUCCAUGCGUUACUUGGGACAAACAAUAGUGCACUUGAACUGUUUCUCAUCAAAAGAAAGAUCAAGGGUCCUUCAUGGCUAUCGAUUUCUAAAUUUGUGGCAUGUCCAUCUACUCAGCGGGUCAGCUGGUGUAAAUUUGAAGUUACAGUCGACUCCCCAAAAGACAUUUCUGUUUUGAUGACAAGUACCACACUGGAAGUCCCCCCAGUUGUAGUUGCGGCUGUUAAUCUUAAAACUAUCAUAAAUGAGAAACACAACGUGCAUGAGAUUGUGUCAGCAUCAGUCAUAUGCUGUCACCAAGUAAAAAUUGAUACUCCAAUGCGUUCUGAAGAUUGGCAGAAACGGGGAACGAUCAGCCAUUUUACUGUUAUGCGCAAGCUUGAAGGCAGCAUAUUUCCUAUAGGCCUCACCAAAGAAGCUUCUGAUAGGAACCAGAAGGCUGGUAGCAAUGUGCUGGCACUAGAGAGCAGUGAACGUGCUUUGUUAAAUCGCUUGAUGAUUGAGCUUAGUAAACUUGAUUGUGAUGUACUUGUGGGGCACAACAUUUCGGGAUUCGACCUGGAUGUCCUUCUGCACCGUGCUCAGACCUGCAAAGUACCAAGCAGCAUGUGGUCCAAAAUUGGUCGCCUUAGAAGAUCAGUAAUGCCCAGGCUUACCAAAGGAAACACACUAUAUGGUUCUGGGGCAAGUCCAGGAAUUAUGUCCUGUAUUGCUGGCCGUCUCCUCUGUGAUACCUACUUAUGCUCUCGUGAUCUUCUGCGGGAGGUGAGUUAUUCUCUGACACAACUUGCAGAGACUCAAUUGAAAAAAGACAGAAGAGAGGUUUCGCCACAUGAUAUACCUCCAAUGUUCCAAUCAUCGGGAACACUUCUAAAGCUGGUUGAGUACGGUGAGACUGAUGCAUGGCUUUCUUUGGAGCUCAUGUUCCACUUGAGUGUUCUCCCGCUCACACGCCAACUGACAAAUAUUAGUGGUAAUCUGUGGGGAAAAACUCUCCAGGGUGCUAGAGCUCAGAGGGUAGAAUAUCUACUGUUGCAUUCAUUCCAUGCAAAAAAAUUCAUUAUACCAGAUAAGUUUGCUGCACGCAAUAAGGAGCUGAACUCUGCAAAACGAAAGCUUAAUGCUGAUACCGAAGGUGGAAAUGCUGCUGAUGGUGCUGCUGAUCCUUCCAUUGAUGAUGAGGUGCAUAAUGGUGAUCAAGGUAAAGCAAGAAAAGGCCCUUCAUAUGCUGGUGGUUUGGUUUUGGAGCCUAAAAAAGGUCUAUACGACAAGUAUAUUCUACUUCUGGACUUCAACAGUCUUUAUCCUUCAAUAAUUCAGGAAUUCAAUAUCUGCUUCACCACUGUUGAGCGUUCUUCUGAUGGCAAUCUCCCUAACCUGCCAAAUUCAAAGGCUACUGGUGUUUUACCUGAGUUGCUACAGAGCUUGGUGGAGAGGAGAAGAAUGGUUAAAUCAUGGCUCAGGACUUUAUUGGCCGACAGCCCGGGCAGAUGCUCAGGACUUAGUCCAACGAUGCGUCGGUUGCCAGCUCUUUGCUAA